rnacentral:rRNA from 1 species
UGGGGAAUAUUGGACAAUGGGCGCAAGCCUGAUCCAGCAAUGCCGCGUGUGUGAAGAAGGCCUUCGGGUUGUAAAGCACUUUUAUCAGGAGCGAAACGCUGUCGGCUAAUACCCGGCGGAACUGACGGUACCUGAGGAAUAAGCACCGGCUAACUUCGUGCCAGCAGCCGCGGUAAUACGAAGGGUGCAAGCGUUAAUCGGAAUUACUGGGCGUAAAGCGUGCGUAGGCGGUUUCUUAAGUCUGCUGUGAAAUCCCCGGGCUCAACCUGGGAAUGGCAGUGGAUACUGGGAGGCUAGAGUGUGUCAGAGGGUGGUGGAAUUCCCGGUGUAGCGGUGAAAUGCGUAGAGAUCGGGAGGAACAUCAGUGGCGAAGGCGGCCACCUGGGACAACACUGACGCUGAGGCACGAAAGCGUGGGGAGCAAACAGGAUUAGAUACCCUGGUAGUCCACGCCCUAAACGAUGCGAACUGGAUGUUGGUCUCAACUCGGAGAUCAGUGUCGAAGCUAACGCGUUAAGUUCGCCGCCUGGGAGUACGGUCGCAAGACUGAAACUCAAAGGAAUUGACGGGGUCAUAGCUGUUUCCUG